CAACAUACUUUCUGAAGGUUUUAAGACUCUUUCCGGCCGCUGAAGAUGCUUUUCUUCAUCCCGGUUGAGGUGAUGAAGUCUUUAUUAGCUACUGACGGUGUGUUUUUUUUUAAGAAAAUACGCUCAUGUGACCCUGCAUUAUGAAAACAUACUGGAGUGGAAAUACAUUAAAUACAUAUAUUAGAGUGAGGCUGUUUGUUCUCCUCAUGUUGAGCCAGAAGCCGCUCAGCUCUGUGCUGCCGAUCUCCCAGCAGGAGAUACGGGUUCCUGCGUGUUGAGCUGGUAUUUUGAUAAACACGUCUGAUGUGUUCUGAAGUGGUUUCAUGUUUUUACAGAAAAAAAAACAACAGCAAAGAGUUACCAGGGAAUCUCCCGGCCUUAAUGCUCAGUUUAAGAAAGUUUGUGGUUUAAAUGUUAAAACAUGAACUCAUCUGAGACCUUUUUAUUUUAAACGGACCUGUUUAUCUGAUUUUGUAGUUAUAAAACUAGGCAGUAACGUCCUAUUUAACCACAUUCAGGGUUGGAUUAUCUAUUGAAUCAUUCAUCAAAGUGUCUCCAUUAAAGAACAGAAUGUUAAAUAGUGUUCUUUGGAUGCGGUUUGACGACGGAAGCUCGUUAUUCUAUAUUACUCCGUAUCUCCACAGCAGCUCAGAGCUGUGAAGCUGCUGAGGUGUGAAGGCGUCCGCUUGUCUCUGCUGUGACCUUCUGGGGUUUUUUUCUCGCUGUGUGCUCUCAGGGUGUGACUCUGACUGAUCUGAAGGAGGCAGAGAAGAACGUGGGUAAAGCUGUGGACUCCCCACCUCGCAACGUCCAAUCUGUGAGCCCCAUCGUCACCGUCACGCCCGCCGAAAGAGGCCGAGUUUUUAUAACAGCGCAGAUGUGGAGGAGCAAAUAUCUGUUGGUCAGAACGAGGAGCCGGAUCCUGGAUCAGAAGCUGAUCCGCCUCACAGUCCCUCUUUGUCCAGUCUGGAGCAGAAGGAGCCCGUUUGUUACUCCGUGGAGGCGGUUCUCGGGCCUCAGCUUUUCAAACCGCUUUUUAGCUUCUAUACAAAACCCAGAAGUCAAGAAGCAACAUCUCCCUCUGUCCCCCCGUCUUCUUCAGAGACGCCCUCCAGCUCGGUAAAUCCGAUGGAAGCUCCAUAUUCUGUGGAUGCUGUCCUCAGGUCUUUUAAAUCCAUGGAAGGUUCGGAACUUGUUGACAACACAAAAAGUUUCCCUCAAACCCCAACAUACUCUAAGGAAAUCACAGAUCGUCCACUUUGGUCCCAAAACCAACAAUUAAAGGAAAACGCCACGAUUCAAAUGAAGACGUCACAGGAUGACAUGCUAGAAAGCUCGUCUUCUCUUCCAUUUGGAUACAGAAACAGUCAGCUUCCUAAAGUAACUUCUCCCACUGAAAGUUCUCCCAAACACCCUCCAAAGCUCAAACCUCAUGUUUCUGUUCUGCAACCUGAUUUUCUAUCUUUAAUGAAGCGCUCUGUUGGUGUCAGAGGCUCUAAUAAUGGACCUGCAACAAGUUCUGUUCAGGCCAAAGCCUCUGAAACUCCACAUCAGCCCCAGAACAUGCAGUCAAACCUGAAACCUGACCCCUCCUCUGAAACCCGGGAUGGCUUUUCCCAACAGAGUCUCUUUUCUGGCCGUUUUGUGGGUGUGACUGACGGUGCAAUGCCUAAACCCGCCUGUGUGAAGGCUCCGUCUGACCUUCAGGGCUUUAACAAACCCAAACGGUCGUUAGAAACUAAAGGGAUCCCAACAUCUCAUAGGGGCCGGCGCCGCACCCCAGCCCCCCUCCCUGCAGACCGCUGCCUGCCAUGGACACCCGGCCCAUCAGGGCGUUGCCUAUGCCUCGUCUGGUUAGCGCUGAUGCCAAGCAAACUCCCCAGAAGACGGAGUCUCCCAGAUGCUCCUCUAGUUCUGAAACCGAUUCUGCUGGCGGCCCGUCUGCAUGUCGGACUCAGCAGGAGGGGCCGGAUGCGUCGCCCCCCAGAGAGAAGUCUGACGGUUCAGUUCUGAAAUCCCUGUUUGUGAGUCUGGGUCCGUACCAGGAGGACACUAAGCAACGGAACCACGAUCUGAGCCCAGAACCGGGAGGUCAGUGCAUUUUCCUGUCCCACAGCAGUUUUGGACCGCAAGGACCAGACUCUUUCGGCAAUUCUUCUUUCAUCGCUCCGGUUCCUUGUGAUAUCCCCCACUGACUGGGUGUUUGGUGGAACCCGCUGCUGCUGCUGUACAGAGUUUUGGUCCUUUUUGUGGAGGUGUCCAUAGGUGUUCUCUACACGCCCCCCCCCCCCCCCCCCCAUCCGCUGUGGUGGUCCAACGAGGGAGUCGCUGACGGCGGCGUCUGCUCCCCCCUCCCACUUCGUCUACGGCCAACCACGUGUCUGUGCAGGUUCUCCUGGGAGUUGGAGGCCGGUAGUGACGUGUGUACACCUACCUACCGUUUCCUGACCAUCUGUAACAAAAAGACUCUGGUACACAAACUCUGGGACUUCACUGGUUUGCUGUGUUUUGCUUGUUUGCACCUAUACCCCUGCAUGUUACGGGGUAUUGUUUGUUCUGUUCCAGUGUUGUUGGGGUACCCGUGCUAUCAACAGGUGGGCUUGAGGCCCUUAAUGUUAUUUGUUUUACUCUGUUUUAAUUAUUUAUAUGAAGCUCUUACUCUUUUUAUCUGGUUUUAUCCUGUUUUUUUUUAUUAUUGAUAUUAAAACUAUUUUUUUAAGCCAGAACCACGUCUCCACCUGGUUGAGUCCUCAGUUUUGUUUGGUGUGCCUAACCGCUCGUGUUGCCACACAGGCAAAAGAAGAAAAAGGUUUGUUUAAUUAUCAAGACGUUCCGAUCAUCAGUGCCUGAAGGGGCAACUGUUUAAAUUUAAAAGGUCCAGUAAUUUUUGCUUGAUGAAGUCUUUGAUCCAGACCGUCGUAAUGGACCGAGGUAAAUGCUGAAAUUCCAGAAACGACCACAAACAGAGCUGAAUGGGCAGAAUAGCAGCUUACUUGAUGAAGUUUCGUGUUUAAAGUAGAGAACUCUUCCAUUUAAAGGUAUGAAUGGAGGGCUGACAGGAUCAGGAGUUCAGACCGGCGCCUCGGGUCCUCUAAACUUUCUUCAUUUCAUUCAUUUUGUUUUUUUCUGGCCAUCAGACUCCAGCUUCCUGUAACCAGACUUCAGAUAAAGUGGAGCAGCAGACAGCCGGUCUUUGCAGUCCCGGUACGGCCCCCCUUCAGCUGGGAAAGUCGGUCACGGUUCCGUCAGAACCAGCGGCACCGCUGAUGCAGUGUCCUGCUCGGCGAACGACAGAGGAAGUAGACGGGAUCACGGGGAGUGUGGCAGGGGGCUCGUUUAAGGACCUCUUUAAGGCUUUAAACUGUUCUGCUUUUGACUGAAAUCACAGGAACCCAAUCAAGGGGAACCCAAUCAAGGUGCACCGUUUGGUUCUGAUUUUAGUAUUGUGGCACCCAGUGCUCUAAUGUUGGACAAUAUUUUUAUGGAUGAGGCUGAAGCGGACAUCUGAUCUUUUAUUUUGUAUUUUUUUUUAGUCUCCAGUUUACUUUAACUUUUGAAGUUUAUCUUCAUCCUCUGUAAAUUAAUUUUAGCUGCUUUAAACUUCGUUGUCCUCUAGAAUUCCUCUAGGAAACAUUGAAAUGUGAUUAUAGAUUUUUAACCCGUAAAGUGGAAGCUAAAAAAGAUCGGACGCCAACUUUAGCCUUGUCUAACUUUUAAAAUGCGGCACAUAAAUAUAAAAAAAUAUUGAAAAUAUAUAUUUUUUUUUAAAACAGCGACAAAAGCGGGUAUUUUCUAAAUAUAAUAACUGUUUGGACAACUUUAUUAGCAGCAUCCUUGUUACAUUAGACAGCUGGCUGAUGAAUACUAUGCAUAUUAUUAUUAUCGUGUUUUGUUCUCCAUGGCCCGGAACAGACUUUCCAAUCUGCUGUCUGGGGGGGUUGGGGACCACUGCUACAGCACACAGUGAUCCUGGAUUUCUGACUACACCUUUUUAUCAUCAGCAGAUUUUGUUCAAAUUAUUAAUCCUGAACUAAGAAUUUCAAGCAUUAACUCACUAAAAUCUCUGCAGGAGCCAGUUUAGCUCGUUCUGGUUUGCGGCACCUUUGGACCGUGAAACCAGGGUUCAAAACCGGGCUGCUCCCUGGUCCCUUCUCUACUUCUGUGUGCCGGUCCCAAGCCCGGUUUAAUUGAGAGGGUUGCGUCAGGCCGGGCAUCCGGCGUAAAGCAUUGCCAAGUCUACCAUGUGACUAGUCCUUGACGGUGAGGAUGAUUCGCUGUGGCGACCCUUGUUGGGACAAGCCGAAAGGGAAAGAAGAAGAAAAACUCACUAAAACCUCUGCUUUUACAGUUCUACUUUUUCUUUCAUGCAGCUUGGGUUGUUCACAUCCAUUUAUGAGCCAAAAAUGUGAGCUUUCAUUGCCCUGAACAACUACAGACAAUCCUAAAACCUUAAGGCCGUGUCACACAGCCACUACAUACAUUUUCCGCAUAUUCCACGGACUUAAAUCAGUCAGACGUGAAUAUACGUGGUAGAAGUGAGAAAAGUUGUGGUUCUUUACGUGAAAUUUUCACAGAUGUUUCAUUGACGAACCACACUAAAACCAUGAAAGUAUGAAUCAUCCCAAACUUGUACAAAUAAAUCACGCAAAGAACACAGAAAUCAAUGUACAACAUGAACCGUGCUUGACUAUUGCUGCGUUAUAUGCAAUCAUUAGUGAUCCAUGCACCAAUUGCGUAAUUUUAACGUGAUAUACCCAAUAUAAAAGUUAUGCUACGGUGGUAGAUGCUUGACUAGUCUGAUAAACACAUGUGGAACGGUCGUGGAAAGGCACAAAUUUCUCGCAAUAAACUACGUUAAAUACUCAAAUUUCGUAAUUCUCAACUGAACAAAAAAUUGGAACAGCUCAAAACAGAAUUGACCUAAAGACCCGUUGGCAGACACCCUCGACGGACAUCUGCGCACAUCAACAAAUGACAAACGCAAGAAACGCUUUUGAAGUUCAUACAUCUCGGUGUAUCACAAAAAAAAUGAAAUAUCAUCGGAAAUAAUUUUAGCUGCAUAAAAAAAUAUUUUAUUAUUAAAAAUCCUAUCAUUUAAUGCUGUUGGAUAUGCUUUCCGUCAAGUAACAUUUCAUCUUCAGAUAUUUGGUAUAUUUUUAUUAAUAAAAGUGUAACAGAAAGUAUGUAUAAAAUGGAAAACACUUUUAAAUCAUUUAAAAAAACAACAAGCAAUGAUUAAAACUCUGAACAGAUAGAUAUACAGACAUAAAUACAUCUGUUUACAGCUCUCCUACCCCUCCAGCGCCCCCUCCUUAUCCUUCACCCAAAGUCCCUCCAACACGUCCUUAAUCCAAACCCCUCCAACACGCCCCCUCCACCGUUCACCCAAAUCCCAUCCAGCUCCUGCUCCUCCUGGUCCAUCACCCAAACCACCCUCAACUUGACCUCCUCUGUGCGGCUCUAGAGGUGCUAUCCCCCAGAGCAGGGGUCGGCAACCCAAAAUAUUGAAAGAGCCAAAUUGGACGAAAAACACAAAUAUGUCUGGAGCCGCAAAAUAUUAAAAGCCCUAUUUAAGC